rnacentral:ncRNA from 1 species
AGCAUGUGGUUUAAUUCAAUGCAAAGCGAAGAACCUUACCAGGGCUUGACAUGCCGCGAAUCCUCUUGAAAGAGAGGGGUGCCCUCGGGAACGCGGACACAGGUGAUGAAGCUAUGUACCUAGGGUAGGGGCACGGACCUGUCCUAAGAGCCCUACCCAAGGACAUCCU